rnacentral:rRNA from 1 species
AUGGCUGUUAGCAAGGAAGGAGAUCUUGGUAGAGAAAGAUGGCAAGGCGGCCGCCAACAAGGAAGAAGCUCCGGCAGGAAGAAAGAUGGGGAGUGUGGUGGCCAGCGAGGAAGAAGAUGGGUGAUGGAAGCUGCCGAUUUGGCGGCGCUGUCGUUUCCUUUCUUCACUGGCGGCUGGAGAAAGGGAGUACGAGAAUGGGAGGUUGGGGUCGGCUGGAGCAGCUGGAGUGCUACUAGUCUAGGGUUUUCUGGAAUUGGGCCUUACAUGGGCUCUAAGUGGAUGGACAGCUACAUGGGCUCUAAGUGGACGGACAGCUACAUGGGCUGUGAGUGGACUGCUCUCAGUCUUUCAUGA